rnacentral:rRNA from 1 species
GAUGAACGCUGGCGGCGUGCCUAAUACAUGUAAGUCGAACGCACAGACGCGGAGCUUGCUCCUCUGACGUUAGCGGCGGACGGGUUAGUAACACGUGGUUACCCUCCUUAUAAGACUGGGAUAACUUCGGGAAACCGUAGCUAAUACCCGCUACUAUAUUGCACUGCAUUUUUCACUAGUGAAAUACGGUUUUGCUGUCACUUAUAGAUGGAUCCGCGCCGCAUUAGCUAGUUGGUAAGGUAACGGCUUACCAAGGCAACGAUGCGUAGCCGACCUGAGAGGGUGAUAGGACACACUGGAACUGAGACAAGGUCCAGACGCCUAGGGGAGGUAGUAGCAGGGAAGCCGCUGCAAUGGGCGAGAGUCUGACCGAGGAACAGCGCGGGAAUAAAGAAAAAGUGGGGAUCGUAAAAAGGUAAUACAAGACAAGAAAAAAUGAGGAAGUAAGGAUGGAUAGAGAGACGGUACAAAGAAAGAAUGACACGGAUAACUACAGU